AUGCAGAUUAGACACUUUGGAAUAGCAAAAUCCACGGGGGAUAUUUAAAUCCCCCGCGGAUUUUGCUAUUCCAAUGUGUCUAAUCUGCAU
rnacentral:pre_miRNA from 1 species